rnacentral:rRNA from 1 species
GACGAACCGAGCGAACGUUGUUCGGCAUUACUGGGCGUACAGGGCUCGUAGGCGGCCAACUAAGUCAUACGUGAAAUCCCUCAGCUUAACCGGGGAACUGCGUCUGAUACUGGAUGGCUUGAAUCCGGGAGAGGGAUGCGGAAUUCCAGGUGUAGCGGUGAAAUGCGUAGAUAUCUGGAGGAACACCGGUGGCGAAGGCGGCAUCCUGGACCGGCAUUGACGCUGAGGAGCGAAAGCCAGGGGAGCAAACGGG